UUUAUUUUACGCAUUUUUUUUAUUUCUUAUUAAAUAAUCGCUCUUUCUCUGACACUUUGUCGUGCAUUGACUGCCCUUGCGCUGUCGUUUUUGCAUUCCGCUGCUGCCUGUCACUGUUGCCGCGGCAGUCUGAGUGGCUGCGAAAAUAAAAUAAAUUGCCAACACUAAUGAUAUAAUGAAAAUUUAAAACAAUUGUGCGAAAGAAUUGCAGAAAGAAAAAAUAAAUUUUUAAUAUAAAUACGAUAAUUUGACAGUGGAAAAGUUAAUGCGAAUUUUGUGAAAAAAAAAUGAAAGAUGAUUAAGUUACUGGAUUAAUCCGACUUUUAUCUUCUUCAAAUAUAUUUUUGUGUGGGAUGACUGCUUGGACUUGUUCUAUAUUCACCUAUUUGUACAUGUACUUGUCAGACAGAGAGAAUGUGAUCAAAACAUAGCGAUCCGUAGAUGAGCUGUCGAUUCGUCCCGCCAUUUGAUGAAAAUUUACUUGGAUAUUUUCAUAUCAACCUCGCUCACUUUAUGGUGGUAGAGGCAACCGUUCGCCGAAGAAACCCUACGCACAUAGUACAACAGAGUGUCAAAGUAAUGUGAUCUGACUACCGACAUUCGGAAUACGAGUAUAUUGAAUUUAUUUAAAGAACACUCGCCCAGCCUGGUUAUUUAUAGUAAAUAAGAACGCAAUGAAAAUAGUAAAUCCAAAUUUGACUAGUCAAGUCGACUCUGUUAAGGUAAAGUUAAAAUAACAGUUUCUCGCUUAAACGAUAACAAAGAAGACCGCUUCAAGUCGUUUGGUAACAAAUGGAACUUUCGCCAAGACUGAACAGAAAUGAGGCGAAUAAGUAUGACAACGAAUGAGGGCAAAACGAAAUAUAUCAACAAUAGAUUAACCUUGAAGUCCAACACGUGCUAUUUUGAACUGAGUCGAAAACUGAAAGCUUGGACGGUGACAACCUCUGAUGACUAGGCAUUGAUCAUAUUCGAGAGAGAGGUUUUGCAAAUGAAGUAUGUAAGAGGCAGCGGAGACACGUACCGGUGAAAGCAAAAGAGAAAGAAGUCCUGCACACUAUUGGAUUAGGCCGAGAAUGGCCUUUAUUUGCGGUCUCCAAUUGUCACCGAACGACAAAAAGAAGAAUCGAAUGGCGGCUGAACCAUAUAAAUUAUGACUACGUCAAUUAAAUUUGAAGGAACAAAUAAGACAAAAAAGAAAAUUUAUUUUCUUAGCUCGAAGAGGAAAAAGAGGAAGCACAAGAGUAUGAGAGAAGAAAAGCAGGAUGGAAAAACAAAAAAAAAUAUGGAGGUUGUGCAUAAAGAUAGAAAGAGAGGAAAAAUAUGAUUUAAUUAUCAUCUCGGGUUGUCUGGGAAAGUCUCUAAGUAAUCUUUUUCAGCAAAACUAAAACAAAACUAAUUCUGGAAAGUUUUAUACCAAA